CUGAAUGCUUAUCUAAUCACGCCUCUCUUUCUUGUGUCAGGGUGCACCUUAUUACAUUAGCCAUGACAUGGAUCAGAGCACAUCUAAUUCAACUACGCGCACAAGAUGGACGUUAAAAAGCAACGACGUGUGGGACAGCCUGAAUCCAAAUCCUGCAGUGGUGGGUGGUAGCUCUGAAUGCUGAUUCUGGCAACGGCUGGACUCACAGGGAACAACUGGACAUCAGAAACAGAGGUACUCUGCGAUGCAUUUUAAAGGCAAAUAUAUGCAGAGGUGCUUCUCUCCCGCACCACACCGUGACUCAACUUUUGCAGGAGUUGUUCAGGAAACCUUAGAAAGAUGGUAAACCAUGCACAUCGGACAAGAAGCUCCAAGCUGCCAUGUUCUCAUGUUACAAGUGACAGUCUAAAAUUUAUUCACUGAAUCUAAUCAUCAUACAGGCGCAAACUUCACUUCAAGAAUGAAAAAAUGGGGGUCAAUGAGAUUUGUUAUAUAAACAAUGCAAAUGGAAAUGGUAAGGGCAAUCUAUCUUAUCUCUCCAUAUGCAGUAUGGACUUUACUCAGUCCACAGACAGACAAAUGCAUUAUUGAAAAAAAAUUUAUACACACUCUUCCAGCCUAGGGUGAAGUCAUUAUGUGCAUUAACAACGAUGUGAGACAAAUAUAAUGUAAUUUAAUGGAAAAAUAUGUGAGCGGCACGGCAGGAUUUUGAACAGCACUGCACAUCUUGUACAGCUUGUGUCCAACUUAUUCUUCUUAUUCUUCUCCCUCUUAAUAUUAAUGUUAAUAUAUUAACAAUGUGCAUGUCAAAAUAAAUACUUUCUCAAGAGGUGAAAGGAAAUGUCAUUCAUCAAACUGCCAGUAGCAAAUAAGUGGCAAACAGAUGUCUG
ensembl:lncRNA